AUGGAUUAGCGGCGAACGGGUGAGGAACACGUGAAGAAUCUGCCCUCCACUUUGGGAUAACACCGGGAAACCGGUGCUAAUACCGAAUAUUGAAACAUAAGUGGCAUCACUGAGUUUUUAAAGAAUUUCGGUGGAGGAUGACUUCGCGGCCUAUCAGCUAGUUGGUGAGGUAAUGGCUCACCAAGGCAACGACGGGUAGCCGGCCUGAGAGGGCGACCGGCCACACUGGGACUGAGACACGGCCCAGACUCCUACGGGAGGCAGCAGUGGGGAAUAUUGGGCAAUGGAGGAAACUCUGACCCAGCGACGCCGCGUGCGGGAUGAAGGCCUUCGGGUUGUAAACCGCUUUCAGUAGGGAAGAAGCGAAAGUGACGGUACCUACAAAAGAAGCACCGGCUAACUAUGUGCCAGCAGCCGCGGUAAUACAUAGGGUGCAAGCGUUGUCCGGAAUUAUUGGCCGUAAAGAGCUCGUAGGUCGUUUGCCACGUCGGAUGU
rnacentral:rRNA from 1 species